GCCUAGUUAGCGUGGAAGGUAGCGCGUCUGCCUUGUAAGAGCUAGGCGGCGGGUUCGAUUCCCGCCCGAGGCG
rfam:Asian citrus Psyllid, Diaphorina citri - Florida Strain, whole genome shotgun sequence.